AGCAUAGCAACAGCAGCGUAGCUGAACAUCUUACGGAUGGCCCAGGGCUCCAAAGGCUCGUUUCCUAAGUGAGAGAGAGCCUGGCUGAAGCUGUAUUACCAUUCAUUCUCCAGCCUCCGAAGUCUCAAAGCAUCACUUCCACCAUACUCUAACUGUCAAGACAAACACAAAGGCCCAGGAUUCUUGGAAUGGACUGUAAAAGUCUGGAAUCAAGACUUUGUGUUUCCUCUCUAACAUGUAAAGAGCUUAGAAGUUGUCGCUAUUGCCCUUACAACAAAAUGAAGCUGGACAAACUGAAAAUCAAUGACUUUUCUUGGACUCACUAUACAGCUGAGUUUGCAGAGUAAACCACUACCCUGAAAUCUGGAAAGGCAGGUGCACCCACAGAUCCUCAGCUGAGAUCCAAUUACCUGAAAUAGAAGCUGCCAUUAGGAACACUUAAAAGAGCCUGUUCUGCUGGGACACAGAAUCACUUGCUCCAUCUCAUACAUUGAUGAUGAUUAAUUUGUAUGUGUACCUUCCAAAAAAGAUGGUUGUGUUUGAAUGGAGGCCUUCUGGACA
rnacentral:lncRNA from 10 species